CAAGGUUUCCGUAGGUGAACCUGCGKGAAGGAUCAUG
rnacentral:rRNA from 1 species